UACAGAGGGUGCAAGCGUUAAUCGGAAUUACUGGGCGUAAAGCGUGCGUAGACGGUUACAUAAGUCGGGUGUGAAAGCCCCGGGCUCAACCUGGGAAUUGCAUUCGAGACUGCGUAGCUAGGGUGCGGAAGAGGGAAGCGGAAUUUCCGGUGUAGCGGUGAAAUGCGUAGAUAUCGGAAGGAACACCAGUGGCGAAAGCGGCUUCCUGGUCCAGCACCGACGUUCGGGCACGAAAGCGUGGGGAGCAAACAGG
rnacentral:rRNA from 1 species